GCAGCUUUUAAACAACCGAACGGUGACAGCGGCUGUGACAGUUCCUUCUCACAGCAGUACUGUGCCAAGUCUUGUGGCGCAUGCUCACUAGCUGUUUGUGAGGACAACCAAGGGAUACCGUGUGCAGGAUUUGUCGGAGCGAUUGGUGGAGAUUGCAGUAACAACAAAUAUGUAGCAAUGGGAUGCCCAAA